rnacentral:rRNA from 1 species
GCCCUUAGAGUUUGAUCCUGGCUCAGGAUGAACGCUAGCGGCAGGCCUAAUACAUGCAAGUCGAACGGUAACAUGGUAGCAAUACUGAUGACGAGUGGCAGACGGGUGCGUAACACGUAUGCAACCUACCCUUUACAGGGGAAUAGCUCGGAGAAAUCCGGGAUUAAUACCCCAUAAUAUGGAGAAAAGGCAUCUGAUUUUCAUUAAAGAUUUAUCGGUAAAGGAUGGGCAUGCGUCCAAUUAGCUAGUUGGCGAGGUAAAGGCUCACCAAGGCGAUGAUUGGUAGGGGUUCUGAGAGGAAGAUCCCCCACACUGGUACUGAGAUACGGACCAGACUCCUACGGGAGGCAGCAGUAGGGAAUAUUGGGCAAUGGGCGAGAGCCUGACCCAGCCAUGCCGCGUGCAGGAAGAAGGCCUUCUGGGUUGUAAACUGCUUUUGAUCGGGAACAAAGAGUCCAUGCGUGGAAAGAAGAGUGUACCGAUAGAAUAAGCACCGGCUAACUCCGUGCCAGCAGCCGCGGUAAUACGGAGGGUGCAAGCGUUGUCCGGAUUUAUUGGGUUUAAAGGGUGCGUAGGCGGCUAUUUAAGUCAGUGGUGAAAUCCUACAGCUCAACUGUAGCAAUGCCAUAGAUACUGGGUAGCUUGAGUGCAGAUGAGGUAUGCGGAAUUUAUAGUGUAGCGGUGAAAUGCAUAGAUACUAUAAAGAACAUCGAUUGCGAAGGCAGCAUACUAAGGUGUAACUGACGCUGAGGCACGAAAGCGUGGGGAUCGAACAGGAUUAGAUACCCUGGUAGUCCAUGCUGUAAACGAUGAUUACUCGAUGUUAGCGAUAAACAGUUAGCGUCCAAGCGAAAGCGUUAAGUAAUCCACCUGGGGAGUACGCUCGCAAGAGUGAAACUCAAAUGAAUUGACGGGGAAGGGC